rnacentral:lncRNA from 10 species
GGGGAAGGGAGGGAGAGGGACCGAGGAGGGGAGAUAUCCCUCCGCAGAGCUGGGUCUGGCCGCGGGCGGGGAAGCAGGAAGUUGAAUGCAUUCACAUGGUUCCAAAUUCAAAUAAACAGCAAGAAGUCUCCCUCCCACCCUGUCUGCCACCCACUUGGUUUUCCUUCUCUGGAGGCAACCUGGGUUAGUGGUCAGAAGAUGCAUUUAACUGUUUUCCAGCUGAGGCCUUGUGAGAACUCCUCGGACACCAAUUUAAAUCUUUAUGUCCAGAACUCCUUUCUCCAAUCCAGAGAUGAGGUUCCACCAUUCUUGCCCAGACUGGUUUCGAACUCCUGGACUCAAGCGAUUUGCCUGCCUCGGCCUCAAAAAGUGCUGGGAUUACAUGCAUGAGCCACCACACCCGGACCCUCUCUCUUAAAUAGUGGCCCUUUUGCCUCUCUGCAACACAGGAAAAAUUCUGUUAGCCUGCAUCAGAAGGAGUGGCAUGGAGGCUUUGGAGUUAAGAAGAUUUAAUUCAAAUUAUGUGUCCGGUGCCUGCCAGCAAUGAGACCUUGGUAAGGUUUCUUAACCUCUCUGAGCUGGGACCAUACCUUCUGCGUUGGUUUAAUAUAAAGGUUAAAUGCAUGUAAAUAAAUGACUUCUAAAAUAAAUAACAUUCUAAAAUGUUAGUAACAACUAAAUACAAUAUUUAGAUCUUGUGAGGAUUUGAUUUGAAUAAAUAAGAUUUUUUUAAAAGACAUUUUUGAGACAAAAUGUAGACUAUCUGAUAUUAAGAAAUUAAUCACUUUUUCAGAUAUGAUAAUGGCAUUGCAGUUUUUUUUAAGUUCUUAUCUAUUACAGAUACAUAAUGAGGCAUUUUGAGUGAAAAUAUAUCUAGGAUUUGCUUUCCAAUACUCCAUCCCCUCCCCAUCAAAACACUAAAUAAAUGAAACAAGAUUAGUGAAAUACGGAAAAUUGUUGAAGUUAUUCAUUAUUCCAUUUCCCAUAUGGAACUUUCCAUACUAGUUUCCCUACUGCUGUUGAAUAUUUGACAUGUUUCAAAUACAUUUGAAAUAAAUUUAUUGUCUGAGAUGAUCAGGUUGAAAAAUAAUAAAAUGAAAUAAAUUUAAAAGUAAAAUAAACAUAACCCUUUUAAGCAUUAAAAUUAAAAAUUAUGAGGCUUGUUGAAUUAUUACUGUUAUAAAUAAUUACAUACAUGUAUUUUUGAAACAGUCUUGCUCUUUCACCCAGGCUGCAGUGCAGUGGCAUAAUCACAGUUCACUGCGGCCUCAACCUCCCAGGCUCAGGUGAUCCUUGCACGUCUGCCUCCCAAGUAGCUGGGACUGCAGGUGUGCACCACCAUGCCUGGCUAAAUUUUUCUCUUUUGUAGAGACGGGUUUUGCGAUUUUGCCCACACUGGUCUUAAAGUCCUGGG